rnacentral:rRNA from 1 species
GUGGGGAAUAUUGGGCAAUGGAUGCAAGUCUGACCCAGCCAUCCCGCGUGCCGGAAGAAGGCCCUCAGGGUUGUAAACGGCUUUUGACGGUGAAGAACCGACAGGAUGCGUCCUGUUUUGACGGUAGCCGUUGAAUAAGCACCGGCUAACUCCGUGCCAGCAGCCGCGGUAAUACGGAGGGUGCGAGCGUUGUCCGGAUUUAUUGGGUUUAAAGGGUGCGUCGGCUGGACGGUCAGUCAGCGGUGAAAAGCUAUCGCUUAACGAUAGUCUUGCCGCAGAUACUUCCUUUCUUGGAUGAGGAGGAGGCCACUGGAACGGAUGGUGUAGCGGUGAAAUGCAUAGAUAUCAUCCAGAACACCGAUUGCGAAGGCAGGUGGCUGUACCUUAAUCGACGCUGAUGCACGAAAGCAUGGGGAGCAAACAGGAUUAGAAACCCUUGUAGUCC